CUGCCCACUGAAGAAUUUUGAAGGGCCGCAGUAUUUUGACUGUGCAAAGGUAGCAUAAUCAUUAGUCUUUUAAUUGAGGGCUGGUAUGAAUGGUUGGAUGAGGUAAAUUCUGUUUUAUAUCAAUUGGAAUUGAAUUUAGGUUUUAAGUAAAAAUACUUAGAUGUUAUUAAGGGACGAGAAGACCCUAUAGAGUUUAAUAAGUGUAAUAAGUAAUUGAGUUAUAAAAAAAUUUUUAGUUUUUGUAAAAUUUAUUUAAUUGGGGUGAUUAAAAGAUAUAAGAAACUUUUUUUUAAUUUCAAUAUUAUAUUUAGUUAUUUGAUCCAUGUUUAAUGAUUAUAAGAUUAAAUUACCUUAGGGAUAACAGCAUAAUUUUUUUUGAAAGUUCAUAUUGAGAAAAAAGAUUGUGACCUCGAUGUUGGAUUAAGAUAAGUUUUGGGUGUAGAUGUUCAUAA
rnacentral:rRNA from 1 species